CACACACCCACAUCCCCACACACCCACAUACACACCCACACACACCCACCCACACACACUCACACACACCCACACACACACACACACCCACACACACCUACACACACCCACACCCACAUCCCCACACACACUCACACACACCCACCCACACACACACAUCCCCACACACCCACACACACUCACCCACAUCCCCACACACACCCACACACAGACUUCAUGUAUUUCUUAGUGUAGAGUAAGUGUGUCUAGCAUGAUUACGAGUCAUCCAGGUCUCUAUGGUAACCCAAUCCCUGACCAUAAACAUAAUAAAGUAAACAUGAAGGUUCCGCUGGGUUAUGAUGAUACUGCAGCUACGGUUAUCUGUAUCCUGUUUAUUACCGUAUCAAAGCUGCGUCAUCCUGUUUCAUCAGGCUUUAUGGGCAGAGAUCAUCUCGUGUUCCACUUCCAGAAGCACUUAGAUCUCGAUCUGAUACUUCACAACGAUGUGGGAAUCCUUUUUUUUUUUUUUAUAUAUUUAUAUAUACAGUCUACGGUGUGGAAUGUACGGCUAGUCACCGGGAAGAAUGAAAAGACUGUUCUCUUUUAAAAAAAUUUUUUUUUAAAGGCACCAGUUACCCUCCAGUGGAUCGAGAGACAGGCCUACAGGCAGGCAGGCUGACUGACUGACUGACUGACUGACUGACUGACUGACUGACUGACUGACUGACUGACUGACUGACUGACUG
rnacentral:lncRNA from 1 species